AGUUAUGGCAGAGUAACAGACGUCUUUAACAUUGAACUAACAGACACUUUCGAUGGCUGUAUAAAAUGUAACUUCAAAAAUAUGACCCAUUAAAACAAUUUCAUGAUGAUUUUAUAGAGGCAGAAUUUCUUAAUUAUGGAUGAUUCCCUAUUUGGAGUUUCUAUAGGACUGAGGAAAUAAAAAUAUUGGAAAAAACAAAAAUGUGUUUUUUUCUACUUUACGAUUCUAAAUUACAAAAUAACCGUGCAUGCCAAGUACAUCAUAUGUUAGGCCGAUUUGUAGAAAAUUUUAAGGAGUACUUUAUGUAUUAAUCAUGUGCCCCUCCCCUUGAUCGACAUCAACAUCUCCACAUUCUACUAAGUUGCUACUAUUGGGACAGUUUUGCAUUUUUGAGUUUUUAUA